rnacentral:tRNA from 1 species
GGAGAGAUGGCAGAGCGGUUGAAUGCAACGGUCUUGAAAACCGUCGAGGGGCAACUCUCCGAGGGUUCGAAUCCCUCUCUCUCCG